GUCACUAAUAACAACAAUGUUUUUGAAAUUACUAUGCUGCUGAACUGUGAUGCCGUGUAGUUUUAACCAUGUUAGUGUUGUUAAAAGCUAUUCCUUAUAUAGUUACAUUGACUACUACUUCAGUAAUGGCUAACGAAAAAUGUUCUCGAUUUUACCAUGUCCAUGGUAAAAAUAAGAACCUCAAGUGAGUUAUUUUUAGCGUGCGCUUACAUUUCGAUCUCACUUAUUUACUUUAGGACGCCAUUUGCCGUGCACCGGUCAAGUUGUUUUGUUUGUUUAUUUUUUAAUAUGUUAUUGAUGUUAAUUAAAAUAUAAAAUUAAGCAGGAAAGUGAUAAUAACAAGCUUAAAGUUAUCGUUGAUAAAAUUCUUGAAGAUACGGAGUUAAUUGAUGCCCGUGAUGAAAAUCCAGCGCUCCGCGAAUUGAUAGUUGACCAGUGGUACCUUGCGGUCAUCGACGAAGCGGCGCUAGCGGACAUUUUUUCAGUUUUGAAAUGCACGGGUCAUAAGCACGCCCUGCGAGCAAAACUGCAACACUGGUAGGAAAGUGCUCUAUACAAGCCGGAACAAACGAGUAGCUGCUCCCAUUCCCCAGGCUUUUCGACGAGUUCAAUACGAGGUCCAACACAUCCUCUUCUAUCGACAUCGGUCACAUUAAGUCUCCUAGAGGACAUUCUUGAAAGAAAUGAGAAGGGGAAGAUUGUGACUCAGUUCUACGGUUCUACCGAAUGCAACAACAGUUGGAUGCUUAACAUAGAAAACAUUUGGCACACACAGUAGUGGUUCAUUAUAUCGCAAAUGAAACCUACUUCCGAAUACCAGACAUGGCUCGGUUCGCGUAAUGUAUUACAGAGAAACUUUCACCAGAGCUCCCAGAAGUGUACUUCAACCCACGGGACGCAACGAUCGAUAACAGGAAAAUCUUUAAAGAAAAAGCUAUGAUACUGCCGAAGGAAGGUAAUGACAAUCACUAAAGGUAUGAUACAGUAGAGUGAAAGUGGUUAUAUUAUCGAAUUUCUAAAUGAUUAUAGGUUAAGGAA
rnacentral:lncRNA from 1 species